rnacentral:rRNA from 1 species
UGGGGAAUAUUGCACAAUGGGGGGAACCCUGAUGCAGCGACGCCGCGUGAGUGAAGAAGUAUUUCGGUAUGUAAAGCUCUAUCAGCAGGGAAGAAGAGGACGGUACCUGACUAAGAAGCCCCGGCUAACUACGUGCC